rnacentral:rRNA from 1 species
AGUGAACGCUGGCGGUAGGCCUAACACAUGCAAGUCGAACGGCAGCACAGGAGAGCUUGCUCUCUGGGUGGCGAGUGGCGGACGGGUGAGGAAUACAUCGGAAUCUACUCUGUCGUGGGGGAUAACGUAGGGAAACUUACGCUAAUACCGCAUACGACCUACGGGUGAAAGCAGGGGACCUUCGGGCCUUGCGCGAUUGAAUGAGCCGAUGUCGGAUUAGCUAGUUGGCGGGGUAAAGGCCAACCAAGGCGACGAUCCGUAGCUGGUCUGAGAGGAUGAUCAGCCACACUGGAACUGAGACACGGUCCAGACUCCUACGGGAGGCAGCAGUGGGGAAUAUUGGACAAUGGGCGCAAGCCUGAUCCAGCCAUACCGCGUGGGUGAAGAAGGCCUUCGGGUUGUAAAGCCCUUUUGUUGGGAAAGAAAUCCAGCUGGCUAAUACCCGGUUGGGAUGACGGUACCCAAAGAAUAAGCACCCGCUAACUUCGUGCCAGCCGCCGCCGUAA